rnacentral:misc_RNA from 1 species
ACAACCGUUUCAAUCCCUUUUAUAAUAUAUUGAAGGGCUUGGUUGUGGUGGACGAGGUGAUGUAAACACUUGUUGAAUUACCUCCCCACCGAAAUUCAGAGGCAGUCCAUCCCCAUGUCGUUGUGGCGUUGUAAAAGCUCUUCAGCAAUUUUCGCUUGCAAUCAUGGGCUUUAUAUGGUGCUUGCCAUUUGAAAAUCCCCCAUAUAUCAAA